UACGUAGGGUGCAAGCGUUACUCGGAAUUACUGGGCGUAAAGCGUGCGCAGGCGGUUUUGUAAGUCUGUGGUGAAAUCCCCGGGCUUAACCUGGGAAUGGCGAUGGAGACUGCAAGGCUAGAGUUUGGCAGAGGGGGGUAGAAUUCCACGUGUAGCAGUGAAAUGCGUAGAGAUGUGGAGGAACACCGAUGGCGAAGGCAGCCCCCUGGGUCAAAACUGACGCUCAUGCACGAAAGCGUGGGGAGCAAACAGG
rnacentral:rRNA from 1 species